rnacentral:rRNA from 1 species
UACGAAGGGGGCUAGCGUUGCUCGGAAUCACUGGGCGUAAAGGGUGCGUAGGCGGGUCUUUAAGUCAGGGGUGAAAUCCUGGAGCUCAACUCCAGAACUGCCUUUGAUACUGAAGAUCUUGAGUUCGGGAGAGGUGAGUGGAACUGCGAGUGUAGAGGUGAAAUUCGUAGAUAUUCGCAAGAACACCCAGUGGCGAAGGCGGCUCACUGGCCCGAUACUGACGCUGAGGCACGAAAAGCGUGGGGGAGCAAACAGGG